AGUGAACGCUGGCGGCGUGCCUAAUACAUGCAAGUCGAACGGAGAUUAAGUAGCUUGCUAUUUAAUCUUAGUGGCGCACGGGUGAGUAAUAUAUAGCUAACUUGCCCAUUACUAAGGGACAACAGUUGGAAACGACUGCUAAUACCUUAUACUCCGUAUCUAUAUAAGUAGAUACGGGAAAGUUUUUCAGUAAUGGAUAGGGCUAUAUCGUAUCAGCUAGUUGGUAAGGUAAUGGCUUACCAAGGCUAUGACGCGUAACUGGUCUGAGAGGAUGAUCAGUCACACUGGAACUGAGACACGGUCCAGACUCCUACGGGAGGCAGCAGUAGGGAAUAUUGCUCAAUGGGGGAAACCCUGAAGCAGCAACGCCGCGUGGAGGAUGACACUUUUCGGAGCGUAAACUCCUUUUCUUGGGAAAGAAUUAUGACGGUACCCAAGGAAUAAGCACCGGCUAACUCCGUG
rnacentral:rRNA from 1 species